UUUUAUUCUGUUGAGAUAUAUUCUAUUUUUUUUUUAUCAUGAAUGGAUGUUGAAGUUUGUCAAGUGUUUUUCUGCAUCUAUUGAAAUGAUCAUGUAGUUUGGCUUUUAUUUUGUUAAUAUAGUAUAUUACAUUGAUUGAUUUGUGUAUUUUGAACUAUCCUUGUUAACUUGGAAUGAAUCCCACUUGGUCAUGGUGUAUGAUCUUUUUUAUGCAUUGCUGGAAUAAAUUUGCUAUAAUUUUAUUGAGAAUUUGCAUCUAUAUUCAUCAAAGAUAUUGGCCUAUAAGUUUCUGUUUUGGUAGUAUCUUUAGUUUUGGUUAAGUGAUGGGCUUCAUUGAAUAUCUUUGGAGUGUUCCUUCUUCAAUCUUUUGGAAGUGUAUAAUAAGGAUUGGAGUACAUUUUUCUUUAUAUGUUUAGUAGAAUAUGCCUGUGAAGCCAUCUGGUCCUGGGCUUGUGUUUGUAUGUUUUUAUUAUUAGUAUUAUUAUACAUUCAUUUUAAUUUCUAGUGACCUAGUCAAAUGAUUUUUUUCUUCUUGGUGCAGUUUUGGUGGGCUGUAUAUUUCCAGAAAGUUUAUUUUGUCUCUUUUCUUCUUGAGAGCUUGGCCAGAGGCUUGUCAAUUUUAUUUGCCCUUUCAAAGACCCAGCUCUUUGUUUUAUUUUUUUUUCUACUUUUUUAAAGUUUCUAUUUUAUUGAUUUCCUCUCCGAUCUUUUUAUUUUCUUCCUUCUGCUGACUUUAGGUUUUGUCUGUUCUUCUAUUGAGAUUUAAUAUCAAAAGUGAGCAGAAUUUGGUUUUCUCUCUCUUUAAAACAAAAGGUUUUUUGAGAUAUUUGCCAUAUUAUAAAAAGUUUUUCUUUACCUUUUAAGUAAAUUGACUAGAAAAAGUAAGGUUUUUCUCUCUUGUCAAAAUAAUCACCUAUAUUCAAUAUUGUCCUUAUCUUGUCUUUGAUUGCAUACACUUGGUAUUUGCAAUACUAAAAGAGCUAAGUUUUAAACACAACUAUGUAACCAUCUAUGUUUGACUAUGAAGUCCUUGUCACUUUAAUUAAAUAUAUAAUUAAGUAUUAUUUCACAGUGACCUAUGAUUGUAUUUGACCAAGUUUUAAAUCUUUUGAUGUUUUUGAAAAAUUUACCAAAAAUAAAAUUCUAAAUUCUUUUGACCUUGAAAUAACUUUGGAUUUUCUGGAGUGCCCCUGGCACAUCUCAAAGGAUUUGUUCUGUCUCCUUAGAGAAAGGGACAACUUAAUUUAAUUAUGCUUAUUUGAUAUGUAAAUUGCAUGGGAAACAUUGUCAAGACAUAACACUAGACAUUUGUUUUGUUUUAAGCAUAUAAGUGCUCCAGAAAUUGUGUGAAAUCCCUGGAAGUAUGAAAUGCCCUAAACACUAAUUCUGUCAAAAACUACAUGACCUUGGAAGUAGAAUCCUCCUCAUUUGAAAACACAAUCCAGAUAACAACUUAUUUACAAUUUUAUAAAUCCCAUUGUAAAGGACCCAGAUAUACUAUAUCCAGGCUAAUGCCUACUGAAACUAAGAUAUAAUGCUUAUGUGUUUAUUUUUAAUUCAAUAAACAUAUAGUAAUUAAUUGCAUAACAAUGGAGAAUUAAUGCAGCUGCCUUGCCAGAAUCAAUUGCUUUUGGACCAAGGACAUAUUUAACUUGAAGUGAUCUUACAAGAUGGAGGCUGGAGUAAUAAAUACUCUUAGCUUAAACUCCUCUCUUAUUUCUAUAUAUUGUGACUUCCCAUUGACCAAACCCAGUUGGAAUGUAGGAAGAGAAGGAAAGUUUUUGCUUUAUCCAUGGCAGAUGAAGCAUGCAGGAAGAAGAAAUCCAGAAUAGUUCAGAGCCAUUUUGACCCUCAGCCUGGGUAAAAAUUACAAUUUCCAACAUAAGGAUGGUAGGAUACAAAGUUUUAUUGGAUAUUUCUGUGGAUAGAAUGAACUGUUGGGUCAUAUUCAUGUUCCUAGGGGAAUGGUGCCAUUUGGGAACCCUACAAUGACCUCCAGUGUUACUGUAUGAAACAUGCAUUCAUUGUAGCAUGAAGGAUAUAGAAGGAUCUUCUAGAUGAAGUACGAGUGGAAGACCAUAUAAUUUAAAUACAUGGCUGAUUCCUUCACUAAUAUCACGGUCACUUUUUACCUGGUCCCGUGGAACAAACAGUGCAGUGACUAUGGGAAAAUAUUGUCUGACAUUCAUGAUGAUAUAGAUUUUUCACUAGUAUUAUCCCUCAUUUACAGAAAAGGAAAUUGACACAUAAAUUUGUUGCAAUUAACUUGACAUGUCUAGAAAUGAGCAGAGCUGAUAUUUAAACCCAUAUAAUUUCCCAGACCAGGGGUCAAAUCAGAGCUUCAGCUGGAGCCUAUUCCACAGCCACUGCAACACCAUCUGAACCAGAUCUAUGGAUUUAUGCCACAGCCUAUGGCAAUGCUAGAUCAUUAACCCACUCAGCGAGGCCAGGACUUGAACUGACAUCCUCACAGAGACAACAUUGUGUCUUUAACCUGCUAAGCCACAAUGAGAACUCUAGGAAAAACAAAAUUUUUCUUUGACCUGAGUCAUUUCACAGAUAGAAAUAAUUAGAAGUGAGGCAAGUUAUACUUGCUGAAUAAUUCUCCCUUAAUCCCUCAAGUUUUUACAGGUAUUCUUGUCCCUGACUUUAUCUAAAGGACUUCUAAUUAUUUACAUAGGUAAAUAUGCACGGGGAAAAGGUAAGUGAAUACUUUGGCAGGAUAGUUAAUGCUAACGGAUAAGUCAUUUGUUAUUGGUUACUUAUGGGCAUUAAGUGGCCAUAGCCAUACUAAAUGUUUGUCCCAACCCAGAGGAAAUAAUUGAAACACAUAGACUCAGAAGCUGAUGAAAUGUUCACAUGACUUGGCUCAUAAAUGGCUAUUAUUGUUAAAAAGUUAAGCAAUACUGCCACCUGGAGGAAAUAGAAAAGAUUAGAGCUUUACCCCACAGUUUUGGGAUGGGAAAGAAUGGGGAAGAUACUCAUAAUAUCAUAUUUCUUUAUCUCCAACACAUAUUAGGUCUUAGAAGUUACAGUGUACUAUCACAGAAAAAGUUCAUUUCAGUUUUUAUAUAAAGUUGUGGCUGUUGGUAGCCCCAUAGAAGGACAUUACGAUAAUGUGAGAGACUGUCAAAUUGUUUCAACUUUCCUCCAAACUAUGGAGAGAAUAUGUCCAUGUAAAAUUAUAAGUAAGUGAAAUGGAAAAAAUAGCAAUACCGAAAACUCACAACUCAGACUGAGACUUGCACCCAGCCAAAACCCAGAUUGGGACUUGAACCUAUGGGCUGGAACUCUAGCUCAGUCAAGACACAGAUUGGGACUUGACGCCACUUUUUUUUAAUUAAAAUCAUUAGUGAUGGGAUCCUGCUGUGUAGCAAUGGGUACUCUGUCUUCAACAGUUAUGUCAUUUUCUAAAAGGUUGUGCCCUGCCACUUUCCCUCCUGUUUCAAUACCACUUAAAAGUGACCUUCAAUUAAAAUUUAGUACUGUAUGGAAUCAUACUUUACAUAUCAUUAAAUGUUAAAGUAAACAUUUGAUAAGGAAGAUGUCAGCACAAUGCAUUUCCUAGCGGAGAUCUUACAACAGAACUAUUUGAUUUCCCUCUAAACAAUGUAAAGUACCUCAUGAAAUGCACUAAUAAAGUAUUGAACAAUGCAACCAGUUUAGUGAGGAAUGCUCUGCCAUGUCAUGGGCAGCCCAUGGUUUCUUAUCUGUUUGAUCUAGUUACAAUCGGUUUUUUCUGUCUUUGCUGUACACCUGAAACUAACAUAAUAUUGAAAGUCAACUAUACUUCAAUGGGAAAAAAAAAAGGUUUUCUUUAUAAGACUAAUCUAAAAUGGGAUAAAUCUAUAUAUAUCUAUCUAUAAAUGUAUAAAAAUUCAAAUUCUACCAGAGAGAUUUAACAUUAAAUUAAGAAAACAUUAAUUAAAAUGGCAAAAUCUCUUCACUUUUGGAAUAACCUAAUCAUAGGGAUGACCAUCAUGACGACACUAAAGAAAGGAAAUUAUACUAGGAGCUGUGUUAUUAGGGACUUUCUUUGAAUACUAAGUACCACACUUAAUCAGAAACUCUGUAUCCCACAGCACUGUUCUGUUUUUUGGAUGGGUUGUUACUGACUUCCAGUUCCACUGUGAUCCCCAAAGUUGAUUUUGUUACUUUAAGAAGUAUAUCUAUAUGAGGACAUAAAAUUUAGUUGGGUUUCAUUGCUUUUGUUUUGGUUAUUUCAAUUUUGAAGAAGGUAUGAAUAGAUUCAGAUUUAGAUGACUGACAACCUAAGUUGGCUUGUGAUAAAUCAAAGCUUCUUUCUAGAAGUUUUGACCCAGAGGAUAUCAAUCACAACAACAGAAAUAUGGACAAACUGACAAUAGAAGUGCAUGUAAUUACCCACAUCCUGAAUUUUAGACCAAUUCAUUCCCCCUUAUCUGAUUACACUGGCAGUCAUCCUAAUAUUCCCUAAAGAAGAGAUUGGAACUUUCUCUUCACAGCAGCUGACCAGUUCACAAGAAAAGUGACAUGGAGUUCCCACUGGGGCUAGUGGGUUAAGAAACUGCCAUAGCCUCCAUGAAGAUGUGGAUUUGAUCCCUGGCCUCACUCAGAGGGUUAAGGAUCAAGCAUUGCUACAAGCUGCAACAUAAAUACAGAUGUGCCUCAGAUCUAGUGUUGCUGUGGCUGUGUGUAGGCCUCAACUGUAGCUCCCAUUUGACCCCUAGCUGGGGAACUUCCAUAUGCCAUAAGUACAGCCUUAAAAAAAAAAAAAAGUAGGAGUUCCCAUUGGGGCGCAGUGGUUGGCGAAUCUGACUAGGAACCAUUAGGUUGCAGGUUCGAUCCCUGCCUUUGCUCAGUGGGUUAAGGAUCUGGCAUUGCUGUGAGCUGUGGUUUAGGUUGCAGACACAGCUCGGAUCCUGUGUUGCUGUGGCUCUGGUGUAGGCCAGUGGCUAUGGCUCCAAUUUGACCCCCAGCCUGGGAAUCUCCAUAUGCUGUGGGAGCGGCCCUAGGGGAAAAAAAAAAAAAAAA
ensembl:lncRNA